CGUAUACGGUGGAUGCCUUGGCAGUUAGAGGCGAUGAAGGACGUGUAAGUCUGCGAAAAGCUGUGGUGAGCCGACAAAAUGCAUUUGAGCCACAGAUGUCCGAAUGGGGAAACCCACCUAUUUAUAGGUAUCGUUAACUGAAUACAUAGGUUAACGAGGCAAACGAGGGGAACUGAAACAUCUAAGUACCCUUAGGAAAAGAAAUCAACCGAGAUUCCCCUAGUAGCGGCGAGCGAACGGGGAGCAGCCCUUAAGCUGUUUAGAAUUUAGUGGAAUCCUUUGGGAAGAGGAGCGAUACAAGGUGAUAGCCCUGUACACGACGGAUUCUUUACAGUGAAAUCGAGUAGGUCGGGACACGUGUUAUCUUGACUGAAUAUGGGGGGACCAUCCUCCAAGGCUAAAUACUCCUAACUGACCGAUAGUGAACCAGUACCGUGAGGGAAAGGCGAAAAGAACCCCUGUGAGGGGAGUGAAAUAGAACCUGAAACCGUAUACGUACAAGCAGUGGGAGCCCUUCGGGGUGACUGCGUACCUUUUGUAUAAUGGGUCAGCGACUUAUAUUUAGUAGCAAGGUUAAGCGAAUAGCGGAGCCGUAGCGAAAGCGAGUGUUAACUGCGCGUUUAGUUGCUAGGUAUAGACCCGAAACCCGGUGAUCUAGCCAUGAGCAGGUUGAAGGUUGAGUAACAUCAACUGGAGGACCGAACCCACUAACUUUGAAAAGUUAGGGGAUGACUUGUGGCUGGGGGUGAAAGGCCAAUCAAACCGGGAGAUAGCUGGUUCUCCCCGAAAUCUAUUUAGGUAGAGCCUCGGACGAAUUCCAUUGGGGGUAGAGCACUGUUAAGGCUAGGGGGUCAUCCCGACUUACCAACCCUUUGCAAACUCCGAAUACCAAUGAGAACUAUCCGGGAGACACACGGCGGGUGCUAACGUCCGUCGUGGAGAGGGAAACAACCCAGACCGCCAGCUAAGGUCCCAAAAUAUUGCUAAGUGGGAAACGAUGUGGGAAGGCAUAGACAGCUAGGAGGUUGGCUUAGAAGCAGCCACCCUUUAAAGAAAGCGUAAUAGCUCACUAGUCGAGUCGGCCUGCGCGGAAGAUGUAACGGGGCUAAGCAAUAUACCGAAGCUGCGGCAGCAUGUUUACAUGCUGGGUAGGGGAGCGUUGUGUAAGUGGAUGAAGGUGAGUUGUAAAGCUUGCUGGACAUAUCACAAGUGCGAAUGCUGACAUGAGUAACGAUAAUGGGAGUGAAAAACUCCCACGCCGGAAGACCAAGGUUUCCUGUCCCAUGCUAAUCAGGGCAGGGUAAGUCGGCCCCUAAGGCGAGGCAGAAAUGCGUAGUCGAUGGGAAACGGGUUAAUAUUCCCGUACUUAUAUAAUCAGUGAUGGAGGGACGGAGAAGGCUAGGCAAGCUUGGCGUUGGUUGUCCAAGUGAAAGUGAGUAGGCUGAAGACUUAGGUAAAUCCGGGUUUUCAAGGCCGAGACACGAGACGAGCUCCCAAGGGAGUGAAGUUGUUGAUGCCCUGCUUCCAGGAAAAGCUUCUAAACUUAUGAUUAUAUGAACCGUACCCCAAACCGACACAGGUGGUCAGGUAGAGAAUACUAAGGCGCUUGAGAGAACUCGGGUGAAGGAACUCGGCAAAAUUGUACCGUAACUUCGGGAGAAGGUACGCCUCUGUUUGUGAACACUUCGCGUGGUAAGCAAAUGGAGGCCGCAGUGACCAGGUGGCUGGGACUGUUUAUUAAAAACACAGCACUCUGCAAACUCGUAA
rnacentral:rRNA from 1 species